CCAACAUGGAUAUCCUGGAAAUCACUCUCCCCAGGCUCUGUCCAGGUGGUGUAGGGAAGCAUAGGGUUAUGUCGCAUGAUGCCCAGUGCCUCUCACAAAAUUGGAGAAGAGGUGGGACCUUGUGUCUGCGCCUGCACAUUUCUACAUCUUUUCAAUCCUUUGGGCAAAGACUGAGGAGAUAAACCAUCGAAAAACAAUG
ensembl:snoRNA SNORA73 Small nucleolar RNA SNORA73 family